CAACUUAUAGCUUAAUCAAAGCAUCUUGCUUACACCAAGAAAACACCCGUUAAAAUCGGGUUAAAUUGA
rnacentral:tRNA from 1 species